CACGUCUUAGUUUUGAUCUUAGCUAAACAGCAACUAACCACUUCCUUUCCUUUGCACUUCCUCCACAAAUACAUAUAAGAGGUGAUGGUGAUGUUCCGCUCUGUCUUUCUGUCGGAUGGUCAUCAUGUUCAGUGUAGACAAAGCAGCUCUACUUUCCAUUCAGCUGUUUGUGGUGUGCCACGCCCAUGCAGGUAGAGUGGGGAUUUGUAUUUAUGAUGAAUGCUCUAGGUUUUAUUACAGAUUUCAUUUAUACUGUUUUUUUUUCUUCAGCAUUAGGGGAUCUACAAGUUGACCACAGGAAUAUACUGGUGUCCAGGGGAGACUCCAUCAGUCUCACUUGCAACAUAUCCAUGAAAAAUGCAACACAAAUCAAUUGGACCAAAGACAAAAAAAACAUUUUUACUUAUUCAAAAAAACAUAAUCAGACUUUUUCAAAUUUCACCUCUCACAGACUCAGAAUAGAGACGGACUCACCUACACAGCUGAACAUUUCUAAUGCUCAGCAUGACGACUCAGGACUUUACACAUGUAAUGUAAAUGCUAGAAAUGGUCCACAGGACAUUGUCUGGAAUUUAACUGUGUCUCAGAGCCUUGACGAAAUGAUUCUAUCAUGGCCUUUUCUAUACAUACUCGCACCUGUAACUGGAUUUCUUCUAUGCAGCUUGAUGGUAGCUGUCUGCAUCUGCAGCAGGAAACAUGGGACCAUGACCCCAAACCAGAAUCCAGUCCAAGGCCAGUUUGACCUUCAGUCAGGAGGAGAGGUCAUUGUCAUCUUAGACACUCUCAGAUUUCUCUGCUUUAUUUUCUUAUUGAUUGUGUUGAACUUUAUAUUUAUCUUCUACUCCUCCAGGGGGUCGUCUCUCAGGAGCAGGCUGACAUGGAUCAUAGGCCAAAUAACAGGAGGAGUCAGUACUUGGAGAAACUGA
rnacentral:lncRNA from 1 species